CCUACGGGCGGCAGCAGUGAGGAAUAUUGGUCAAUGGACGCAAGUCUGAACCAGCCAUGCCGCGUGCAGGAUGACGGCUCUAUGAGUUGUAAACUGCUUUUGUACGAGGGUAAACCCCGAUACGUGUAUCGGGUUGAAAGUACCGUACGAUUAAGGACCGGCUAACUCCGUGCCAGCAGCCGCGGUAAUACGGAGGAUCCGAGCGUUAUCCGGUUUUAGUGGGUUAAAAGGGUGCGUAGGCGGAUUGUUAAGUCAGCGGUAAAAUGUCCGGGCUCACCCCGGACCGGCCGUUGAAACUGGGGAUCUGGAGUGGGCGAGAAGUAGGCGGAAUGCGUGGUGUAGCGGUGAAAUGCAUAGAUAUCACGCAGAACUCCGAUUGCGAAGGCAGCAUACCGGGGCGCGACUGACGCUGAGGCACGAAAGCGUGGGGAUCGAACAGGAUUAGAUACCCCAGUAGUC
rnacentral:rRNA from 1 species